CAAGUCGAACGGCACCCCUCUCCGGAGGGAAGCGAGUGGCGAACGGCUGAGUAACACGUGGAGAACCUCGCCCCCUCCCCCGGGAUAGCCGCCCGAAAGGACGGGUAAUACCGGAUACCCCCGGGCGCCGCAUGGCGCCCGGGCUAAAGCCCCGACGGGAGGGGAUGGCUCCGCGGCCCAUCAGGUAGACGGCGGGGUGACGGCCCACCGUGCCGACAACGGGUAGCCGGGUUGAGAGACCGACCGGCCAGAUUGGGACUGAGACACGGCCCAGACUCCUACGGGAGGCAGCAUG
rnacentral:rRNA from 1 species